rnacentral:rRNA from 1 species
GCCUAUGGCAAUAUCGUCCUGAACAUGCCUGAAGCUAAGCAGGAUGGGGCCUGGUUAGUACUUGGAUGGGAGACCGCCUGGGAAUACCAGGUGCUGUAGGCU